UACAGAGGGUGCUAGCGUUGUUCGGAAUUACUGGGCGUAAAGCGAGUGUAGGCGGUCUCAUAAGUCGGGUGUGAAAGCCCUCGGCUUAACCGAGGAAGUGCAUUCGAAACUACUGGACUUGAAUACUGGAGAGGAUCGCGGAAUUCCCGGUGUAGAGGUGAAAUUCGUAGAUAUCGGGAGGAACACCAGUGGCGAAGGCGGCGAUCUGGACAGAUAUUGACGCUGAUGUGCGAAAGCGUGGGGAGCAAACAGG
rnacentral:rRNA from 1 species